UGCGUAACACGUAUGCAAUUUGCCCAUAACUGGGGGAUAGCCCUCCGAAAGGAGGAUUAAUACCCCAUAACCCAGCGAGGUGGCAUCACUUUUCUGGUAAAUCUCCGGAGGUUAUGGAUGAGCAUGCGUCCGAUUAGCUAGUUGGUGAGGUAACGGCUCACCAAGGCAACGAUCGGUAGGGGGUCUGAGAGGAUGAUCCCCCACACGGGUACUGAGACACGGACCCG
rnacentral:rRNA from 1 species